rnacentral:rRNA from 1 species
AACGAACGCUGGCGGCAGGCCUAACACAUGCAAGUCGAGCGAGAACACCCCCUCGGGGGUUAUUAUAGCGGCGGACGGGUUAGUAAUGCGUGGGAACAUACACAGCACUGGGGAAUAACCAUUGGAAACGAUGGCUAAUACCGCAUACGCCCUACGGGGGAAAGAUUUAUCGGUGUUGGAUUGGCCCACGUUAGAUUAGUUAGUUGGUAGGGUAAAGGCCUCCCAAGACGACGAUCUAUAGCUGGUUUGAGAGGAUGAUCAGCAACACUGGGACUGAGACACGGCCCAGACUCCUACGGGAGGCAGCAGUGGGGAAUAUUGCACAAUGGGGGAAACCCUGAUGCAGCCAUGCCGCGUGAGUGAAGAAGGCCCUCGGGUUGUAAAACUCUUUCAGAUGUGAGGAUGAUGACGAUAACAUCAAAAGAAGCUCCGGCUAACUUCGUGCCAGCGCCGCGGU